AAAAAAUGGGAAUUGCUAGACAACUGCCUGCUGAGAAUUUUUGUUCUAUCAGCUGAAUUUGAGGGCGUUGGAUUUGUUUCCAAGAUUCGUGCUAGGAGUUUUAGGCCCACACAUUCAUCCGGGCGCUGGACCCGUCGCUCUCACUGGCUCGUUGCAUGUCUUCACCGUGGACCCCAUGCGAAACUCAGACUCGAUUUUUUUUCCUCAUUCACUCACGCAAGAAGAGCAGAGAGAGAGUGGGGAUUGGAUAACGCGGGGGUACUCACCGGCGGCGAUGCCGCAUCGUGGGUGUGAUGCUAUCGUCGUCUCCUCCGGCGGGUGGAGCUCUAGAGCUUGGUGUCGGCUCCAACGGACGCGCGCGCCGCCUGCGGUUGCGCUUAUCUGCGAGGCAGGGAUGGCGGUAGGGGAGGCAAUCUCGACAGCUCCGAUGGUCGUCAGCGUGUUUCUACAAAGCUUUUUGUCGGGAAUGGCGAUGGAGCCUCAACGCUUCCUGUGUCACUAGGAGAGCCGAAUAGGACCAAUCUGUUGGAUCUCGGCAUGGAAUCCUGCAAUGGCUCACCCAGCGAGCAACUCGAAGGCCACACAGCUCCACACGCCGUCUGUGUCCUCAUUGUAGUCGCCUCCAUCCUCCUCAAGGGCCUCCUCCACCACCUCGGCCAGUAGGAGUUCAGAGAAAGAGGAGCAUAGGGGCCAUGGCCGACAAUGCAACCAAAAGGCAAG